GGACAGAGAAACUACUGUUGAUUUUUCGCGGACGAAAAAGUCCCAACUAAGAACAAUCUUGUAGAAGCGGGCAAUGGAAGCGUCUUCUUCAAGCUUGUCUUUGUCCACAGCCAUUGAGAGACACAGAGUGACUGAAACAGAGUUUUCAAAUUCUCAGUGAGAAAGGGGUUAAUGCACAAGAUUUUUGGCCAAAGGUAUUUAAUUGAUAACAACUGUCUCAUCACACUUGUGUCUCUGGCUUUCAUCCUCUCAGAGAUUUGGACUUGGAUUGCCACCUGGUGUGGUGGUGAUUAUGGAUCAAUCUCACUCAGUGCCAGUGGUGGUGAGUUCUGAUAUGUGAAUUUUUGUCUUCGAGGAAUCGAAUAUCUGAACCUGAAUAUCCUUCUGCAGCCUUUCCAGCAACAAAUCGUAAGAAAACUUCUCCUAAUCAGGCUCUACUGUCAGGAGCUCCUCAAACUUGGCAUUUCUUUCUUCUGGUUCAGGCCGAGGCAUAAGUUCUAAUUUUUCAUGGUCAAUGGAUGGAGAACACGAUUAAUCAACAUACACAAGUGACAUUAGUGAGGAGAAUCAAACUUAUGAUCUUGGGUGCAUAAAUGAAUGUUCUUAACCACUCGAGCUACAAGUUUUGCGGAUGCUCAAUAUACUUGAUCAUGUAAAAAACUGCCUCAUGCAUUGAUACAUAGAUAGAUGAGAAUGCAAACAAGGGCCAAAGUCCUUGUUCCAUAUCUAUACCAAAGGAUGGGUCAAAGUAAGUGUUGUGUAUUUUCUGAGUGCUUCCCGUCCAUUAUCCCAAAACUAGUUAUUGCGUU